rnacentral:tRNA from 1 species
GACUCGAUAGCUCAGUCGGUAGAGCAGAGGACUGAAAAUCCUCGUGUCGCUGGUUCGAUUCCUGCUCGAGCCACCA